AUUGAACGCUGGCGGCAGGCCUAACACAUGCAAGUCGAGCGAGCGGCGGACGGGUGAGUAAUGCAUGGGAAUUGCCCAGUCGAGGGGGAUAACAGUUGGAAAUGACUGCUAAAACCGCAUAAGAAUGGAUGGCUCAGGUGGGAUUAGCUAGUUGGGGAGGUAAUGGCUCACCAAGGCCACGAUCCCUAGCUGGUCUGAGAGGUUGAUCAACCACACUGGAACUCAGACACGGUCCAGACUCCUGCGGGAGGCAGCAGUGGGGAAUAUUGCACAAUGGAGGAAACCCUGAUGCAGCCAUGCCGCGUGUGUGAAGUAGGUCUUCGGGUUGUAAAGCACUUUCAGCGAGGAGGCGUUACUCGCAGAAGAAGCACCGGCUAACUCCGUGCCAGCAGCCGCGGUAAUUC
rnacentral:rRNA from 1 species